rnacentral:rRNA from 1 species
AACGAACGCUGGCGGCAUGCCUAACACAUGCAAGUCGAACGAAGCCUUCGGGCUUAGUGGCGCACGGGUGCGUAACGCGUGGGAAUCUGCCCUUGGGUUCGGAAUAACAGUUAGAAAUGACUGCUAAUACCGAAUGAUGUCUUCGGACCAAAGAUUUAUCGCCCAAGGAUGAGCCCGCGUCGGAUUAGCUAGUUGGUGAGGUAAAGGCUCACCAAGGCGACGAUCCGUAGCUGGUCUGAGAGGAUGAUCAGCCACACUGGGACUGAGACACGGCCCAGACUCCUACGGGAGGCAGCAGUGGGGAAUAUUGGACAAUGGGCGAAAGCCUGAUCCAGCAAUGCCGCGUGAGUGAUGAAGGCCUUAGGGUUGUAAAGCUCUUUACCCGGAUGAUAAUGACAGUACCGGGAGAAUAAGCCCGGCUAACUCCGUGCCAGCAGCCGCGGUAAU